CAGUCAGUUAUGUGAACCAGUUGAUUUUCAUUGUUGUUAAACUAAAUCUCUUCAAUUAAUAUAAUAUAUUUAUACUUUAAGCUACUUUGUUCUUAUUGUGUAUUGCUCUACAUUAAAUUUAAUCUUCAUUAAUUAAUCGUUAAUUGCUCAUUUGUGUUGUGAUUUGAGAUUGGCCCCACUUUAAAGAUUUCGGUAAUUGAGUGUUCCUACCAAUUCACACUCUUACAAAUGGAAAAACCUACAAGUCAAAGGGCGAAUAGAAAAGGAGAUAUACAAAUAGAGAGUUUAAGAUCACCUCGAACUUUGGUAAGCUCUGAAGAAUAAGGAAAUGUUUUCCAUUAGAAAAGAUAAAGAAGAACGUAUGAAUGAGAUAGAAAGUGUGAUUCGAAAUAUUAUUGCUGAAUGGAAGAGGAAAAAGCUAAAUGGGUCGAGAUGAGUCCGAGCGUAACAAAAGAUGAAGACAAGAAGAUGAAAGUUCAUUGAGAAUUGGUUUCGUUUGAGAGCUGAUGAGGAUAAAGAAACUGGAAGAUAAUGUUAAUAGAUGAAAAUGUAUCGUGAUCUCUGAAUACGUUAUGAGUUUAUAUCCAUUGAUUUAAUCAGCUUUCAACCUCCACCCUGGGUUAGGAUACCAGAUAAUGUUGGUAAACCGGUCAAUGAUGAAUUACUAUUCAUCAAUCUCGAUAAGUACCAUGGAUAAAAUAAAAGUUUGGGUGAAAAUUGAAACCAUUGAAAACUGGACUGAUUUCAAUCUGAUCAUCAAUCAGUGACUUUUCAAGAUGAAAAGAAAGAAAGAGAGAAGAAGAGAGAGAGAGAGGACGAGAAAGUUCCAAUUCACAUGAUUGUGAAAUAACUAUCAGAAUUUUUGGUAACUCACCGAGAAGAAAAAGUUUUUUAUUUUUCUCUUUCAAUAUUCUAUUGAUGAUAUUGCAAAUUUUUCUUGUUUUUUUUUCACUUUUAUUGUAUAUAAAAGUUCAGUAAAAUAUUAUUGUUCCAAUCAUGCUUAUCAUUCCCAUCAUGAUGAUGAAGGAUAAGUUAAACUUUUUCAUUAUUAUUUUCCAUUCAUCUGAGCUUCAGUUUCAAUUUUUUCUUUCCUUACCAUGAUGAUGAUGAUGUUUCAUUGUUUAUCUAACCUUCAAAAUAAAACCAAUAGCCAAUGGCUAUUUUCAUUUCUGAGAAAA